GAGUUUGAUCGUGGCUCAGGAUGAACGCUGGCGGCGUGCCUAAUACAUGCAAGUCGAACGAACAGAUAAGGAGCUUGCUCCUUUGACGUUAGCGGCGGACGGGUGAGUAACACGUGGGUAACCUACCUAUAAGACUGGGAAUAACUCCGGGAAACCGGGGCUAAUGCCGGAUAACAUGUUGAACCGCAUGGUUCUACAGUGAAAGACGGUCUUGCUGUCACUUAUAGAUGGACCCGCGCCGUAUUAGCUAGUUGGUGGGGUAACGGCCUACCAAGGCGACGAUACGUAGCCGACCUGAGAGGGUGAUCGGCCACACUGGAACUGAGACACGGUCCAGACUCCUACGGGAGGCAGCAGUAGGGAAUCUUCCGCAAUGGGCGAAAGCCUGACGGAGCAACGCCGCGUGAGUGAUGAAGGUCUUCGGAUCGUAAAGCUCUGUUGUUAGGGAAGACAAAUGUGUAAGUAACUGUGCAUAUCUUGACGGUACCUAACCAGAAAGCCACGGCUAACUACGUGCCAGCCGCCGCCGUAAGACC
rnacentral:rRNA from 1 species